AGAGUUUGAUCCUGGCUCAGAACGAACGCUGGCGGCGUGCCUAACACAUGCAAGUCGCACGAGAAAUCCUGGGCAACCGGGAGAGUAAAGUGGCGCACGGGUGAGUAACGCGUGGGUAACCUGCCCUUGAGUUGGGGAUAACCCCGCGAAAGCGGGGCUAAUACCGGUUAAUAUUACCGUUUCCAUGGAGAUUGUAAUCAAAGGUAGCCUCUGCAUGCAAGCUAUUGCUCAAGGAUGGGCCCGCGUACCAUUAGCUUGUUGGUAGGGUAAUGGCCUACCAAGGCAACGAUGGUUAGCUGGUCUGAGAGGAUGGCCAGCCACACUGGAACUGAGACACGGUCCAGACUCCUACGGGAGGCAGCAGUGGGGAAUCUUGCGCAAUGGGGGAAACCSUGACGCAGCAACGCCGCGUGGGUGAUGAAGGCCUUCGGGUCGUAAAGCCCUGUCAGGUGGGAAGAAACAUGUCGAUGCGAAUAACAUCGGCAUUUGACGGUACUACCGGAGGAAGCACCGGCUAACUCCGUGCCAGCAGCCGCGGUAAUACGGAGGGUGCAAGCGUUGUUCGGAAUUAUUGGGCGUAAAGCGCGUGUAGGCGGUCGAGUAAGUCAGAUGUGAAAGCCUUCCGCUCAACGGAAGAAGUGCAUUUGAAACUGCUUGGCUAGAGUACGGGAGCGGAGAGUGGAAUUCCCGGUGUAGAGGUGAAAUUCGUAGAUAUCGGGAGGAACACCAGUGGCGAAAGCGGCUCUCUGGUCCGAUACUGACGCUGAGACGCGAAAGCGUGGGGAGCAAACAGGAUUAGAUACCCUGGUAGUCCACGCCGUAUACGAUGGGCACUACGUGUAGGAGGUAUUGACCCCUUCUGUGCCGAAGCUAACGCAUUARUGCCCCGCCUGGGAGUACGGCCGCAAGUUAAAACUCAAAGAAUGACGGGGCCCCGCCCAGCGUGGAGCAUGUGGUUCAACUUCGACG
rnacentral:rRNA from 1 species